rnacentral:rRNA from 1 species
GAUGAACGCUGGCGGCGUGCCUAAUACAUGCAAGUCGAGCGAACAGAUAAGGAGCUUGCUCCUUUGACGUUAGCGGCGGACGGGUGAGUAACACGUGGGUAACCUACCUAUAAGACUGGAAUAACUCCGGGAAACCGGGGCUAAUGCCGGAUAACAUUUAGAACCGCAUGGUUCUAAAGUGAAAGAUGGUUUUGCUAUCACUUAUAGAUGGACCCGCGCCGUAUUAGCUAGUUGGUAAGGUAACGGCUUACCAAGGCAACGAUACGUAGCCGACCUGAGAGGGGGAGGGGCCAAAAGGAAAAGGAGAAACGGGCCAGGCCCCUACGGGGGGAAGAAGUAGGGAAUUUUCCGCAAAGGGAGAAAGCAGGAAGGAGAAACGCCGGGGGAGGGAUGAAGGGUUUGGGAAGGUAAAACUCUGUUAAUAGGAAAAAAAAAAUGGGAAAGUAACGGGGAAGGUUUUGAAGGAACUUAAUCAGAAAGCCACGGCUAACUACGU